rnacentral:misc_RNA from 1 species
AACGCACAUUGCGCUCUCUGGUAUUCCGGAGAGCAUGCUUGUUUGAGUAUCAGUAAACACCUCAAUUUCAUGAUUUUAUAUUUUGAAAUUGGACUUGAGCAUAUCCCAACGUGUAUUUAAUUAUAUGGAGGGUUGCUUCAAAUGCAGGUGCAGCCGAUCAUUCUUCUGGGCUAAAAGCAUUAUCUAGUUAGUCCCGUAAAACGGAUUAUUCAUUUUAUUGCUGCAGCUUACCUUUAUGAAAGGAAGACAUGGCCAUUGUGCUGACUGAUGCAGGAUUUCUCAGAGGGUCUGCAAAGACUUUUUGAAAACUCGAUCUCAAAUCAAGUAAGACUACCCGCUGAACUUAA